rnacentral:rRNA from 1 species
UGCCAGCCGCCGCGGUAAUACGAAGGGACCUAGCGUAGUUCGGAAUUACUGGGCUUAAAGAGUUCGUAGGUGGUUAAAAUAGUUGGUGGUGAGAUCACAGAGCUUGACUCUGGAACUGCCAUCAAAACUUUUUAGCUAGAGUAUGAUAGAGGAAAGCAGAAUUUCUAGUGUAGAGGUGAAAUUCGUAGAUAUUAGAAAGAAUACCAAUUGCGAAGGCAGCUUUCUGGAUCAUUACUGACACUGAGGAACGAAAGCAUGGGUAGCGAAGAGGAUUAGAUA